GCUGUUUAGUGUGUGUUCGAGCCUUGAAUGAUCAGGAUCGUGGACGCGGGUCAUCAUCGGCUAGUAUGCGGAGGAAACCGUACACGUAUAGUAGUCUACGGAAUAAUGAGUGCAAUUAAUUUCAUUUUGCGGUUUCCUUUGUGUCUAAUUACGAAUUGAGAACUGCGGGGUACUCCAGCUUAGAGGAUGAGUCGAAUAAACGGGUCUUUAGACUGUACAGAGUGUCUCAAGACAAGUUAGAAGUCAUGAUGAACUUUACAAUACAUGAGACAAUAAUGAUCAAGGUUACGGAAGAUCUGAGGUGAAAGGAAUUUCCUUCAUCUUUGUACUGGGACCAUAGUCGAAGUUUUAUUGAUUGCUCAUUGAAGAUUUAUUUUAUGCAGAUUUAAUUCAUUUUACAUUACUCAUUCGUCUGUGAAUAGGUAGUAACGUAUUUUUACUUUGUUUCUGUAUAUAUGAAUAAUUUUAAUGUCGGUAUGUAUUGAAUUGGCUUUGAACUAAAUUAUAGUGAAUUUUCAGUUUCUAAUGAACGUUGACCCUUGCAUUCCUCGUUAGAAAAUACCGAUCAGAAUACUGAAGCGAUUAAAUUACGGUUUAAUGUAACUUUAAAGGAAGUGAGUCCCAGAUUACCAAUGACCAGUUUUUUCCAAUCACUUCUGCUGAUUAUGCAUACUACUAUAGUCAUGUUACGAAGCAGCAACGUGCUGCUAUUCCUCAUAGGCCAGAUAACUUCAAGUGUUAUCUUGCACUUCGUAGAAGCAAGCUAUGUUUUCACACAUUUAAAGUUAAUUUAUGUCUAUGAUUCAUGCUUCAACAGUCCACAGUGGAGUAUGCCAUGACUACAUGAUCACAUGAAAUAAAUGCAUUUGAAAAACAAUACUUCUACAAAAUACAAUGGAAAAUAGUUAUUUAGUUCUAAACGAUUUAAAUAAAUAGUGAUUUAAAAUGAUUUCAAGUGAUCUAAAUAUCAACUGUCGCGGCGAGCAUCACGAGGUGGAAUCAAGAGGUCCACCUUGAGUGUAUUCUGUUUACUCGAUGCGAGGAGGUGGGUAAUACGGAGGAAAUGAAAAAAUUUUUUUAUAAAUAAAAAAAAAGAGAUGAUUUUAUGAGGAAUUAGUGAACUACGUAAAAUAAGAUUGUGGAAUAGGAGUGAAGCUGCUGGAAUGUUGGCAAAUUAAGGAAUGUGUUCAAUGUGUCGAAAAUUAAAGAAUUGAUCGUUGGGCUGGAGCUAUGUUUGAUUGUAGCAACAGUACGGGUUUAGCGAUCCUGAGGUACCCGAGCUACAAGGGGCCAGUGGGCCCCAGCAGACAUGUAAAGAGUGGAAGAAGUUAAGGAUUGAUGUGAAACAAUGGAAAUGUGAUAUGGAAAAAAAGAUAUAUGUGCAAGACUGGUGACUUGUAACAAGAUUUGACCACUAGAUGCAAUAAUCUAUAUAAAACAGAUUACGAACCCUUAUAAAAUAAACAAAUAAUCAAUUUUAUAAAAGGGAAUCUAGCACAUGGACUAGUUGAAAGAUUUCAUGUAUCAGAGAAGAAUUUUUAAAUAUCAUUAUUAUUCCAUAGGCGAUGUAUAUAAGAAUUUUGAUCAAUUUUUGUUUGUUUCGAGGAGAAAUAGUAGUCUGUCCCCUGCAGAUGUUAAAUAUGCAGCGUGUGUAUACGUCGCGUCGUCUUUCAACUAACCUCCACAAUAUUAAUUUAUCAUCAGAGCAAUACGACGCCACGGAGCGUAGAAUGUCGAGACACCGUGUCCAAC